UACGGGGGGGGCAAGCGUUGUUCGGAAUUACUGGGCGUAAAGGGCGCGUAGGCGGCCUGCUAAGUCGGACGUGAAAUCCCUCGGCUCAACCGGGGAACUGCGUCCGAUACUGGCGAGCUCGAAUCCGGGAGAGGGAUGUGGAAUUCCAGGUGUAGCGGUGAAAUGCGCAGAUAUCAGGAGGAACACCGAUGGCGAAGGCAGGUCUCUGGGCCGAUACUGACGCUGAGGAGCGAAAGCGUGGGGAGCAAACAGG
rnacentral:rRNA from 1 species